ensembl:lncRNA
CAUUAAGCAAAUUAGUGGCAGUGUUGGUUUAUUUACAUUCCUGUUCUUACAAAUGAUUAAUAGUGGAAAGGAGAGGAUGCUCUUGGAUAUGCAGAUUGCUCUGAGUUUCCUUACACAUUGUAAUCCUUUGCCAGUACUUUCAUGCAAAUUUGUUACGCAACGUGGACAUCCACUUUCUCAUGAGAAAAGGAGGUACCACCACGGGCUUACAGUAACCAAGGAAGGACCCUUUGACAGCGAGCUGCUGCCGCUGAGAGGAGGUCCUGCGGAGGAGAGAAGCUGAGGGCUGCAGCGGUGCGCAACGUAGGGCAGCCGAGGGCUCACUGCCCCCUCUGAGGUUCAAAUUAAUGCAGCUGAUACUGAUUCAACGAAACGGGAUCUGAUGAGCUACAGCAGAAACGGGUCGGCGUUGUUCCCCUGCUCGUUCUGUCGACUGCCGGCAGGUGGCUGUCGGGCUCAGGGAAUGGUUUCAGCUGCAGUCCGGUAGUGCUGCCGGGCGAGGCGUGAUACCGGCACCGCUGUGACUUAAAUUCCUGCAAGGAGACUAACUACUGACCCACAGUACUGACCAUGAUCACAUUUUAUGGCAGCUUUUGCACAACUGUAAAUGCAUUUUCCUGAUCGUGAUUCAGUGAAAUGUCAAAUAUUUUAACGAGCCUAAAAAUAUGUGGUGCUGAUCCUUCACUCCUCAUUUUUCUGCAGCUUGAAUUAAUACCGUGACAGACACUCUGUGUUUCAGUAUUGGUACAGACAUUAAUCUGUUAUGCUCUGCUUGAAAGCAGCUGGCUGAUCAAUGCAGGUGGAAGUUGCUAUGCAUGCCUUGGGUUAUUAUCUUGGCACUAAUAAUCUUUAUGCCUGUAGAUAAUGUAGUGUUUGUGAAAUAGCUUAUUGAUCAGAACUGACCAUUCCUAUUCCCCUAACUCCUCCUGUUAGACACUUACCUUCUUUUGAUUCUUUUAAUAUAGGGAAAUGCACGUGGAGUUGGUGGGAGAAUGGAGAAGACUUACAUUAGGUGGAGAUCUCAAGGUAGCGCAGCCAUGGUGGUGGCAGUAUACAGGGAGAUAAUUCAAGCAUUAACAAGUUCAAAGUAAUAUUUUAAGAUCAUGACUUACAGGCAUUCCCUGAUGUUCUUAUAAUAAUUGUCCAGCCUUCAGCUUGGGCUGCAGUUGUUUGUUAUCAAAAGAAACUGCCGAAUUACCACGAGUCUCUCUUCACUGAAUAAAAUCAGAGGAUGGUUGUGGUUGGAGCAUUGCCAGUUUAUGAUGAUUGACACCACUUUCCCUUUGCUACAUAUGGUGUGGAAAGAUGUGCUCUUAACUGGCAAGAAGAGCGGACACAGGAUUUCAUAAAAGCAGACUGAAGUUCUUUUUCUCCUGCUUACAGCUGGUGUGCGUGUGAUCAGGGAGCACAGCACGGCACUGGCCCAGGCACGCAGUGCUUAGAAGCGAUUUGUUCUUCCUGAGCACUGUGCACCACCAUGGACGUACCGAGCAGUUCUGUCCUGCAGUGCUGCAGGGCCGGAGCCCUCAGUGCAGCCAGCGCAGUGUUUUCAGGUGAGCACAACUUGCAGGCGGUUUGGGUUACCUUAUGUGUGCCACGGGCGUGCCCGGGUGUGGGGUGAUGUGGGCACCGCCUCAGAACACCCUGGAAGAGGAGAAACUGCUUUCCUGUGCGAGCAGUUGUGGCGGCUAUCAAUCGGUCCUCGCCUUCCUUCCAACAGCCAUCUUGGUGGUAAAAAUUUAUCCGAGGAGGAUUUAUCACCCCUCCUUUUCCAGGUGCCGUCGUGCAACCGUGUGAAUCAUUGACCCUCUCCGUGGCGGAUGGGAAGCGCGGGGCUGCCCUCACGGGGACAGCG